UCCUACGGGGGGCAGCAGUGGGGAAUAUUGCACAAUGGGGGGAACCCCGAUGCAGCAACGCCGCGUGAGUGAAGAAGUAUUUCGGUAUGUAAAGCUCUAUCAGCAGGGAAGAAAAUGACGGUACCUGACUAAGAAGCUCCGGCUAAAUACGUGCCAGCAGCCGCGGUAAUACGUAUGGAGCAAGCGUUAUCCGGAUUUACUGGGUGUAAAGGGAGCGUAGACGGCUGUGCAAGUCUGGAGUGAAAGGCGGGGGCCCAACCCCCGGAAUGCUCUGGA
rnacentral:rRNA from 1 species